CAGCAAUUUCUUCUUCUAGCACCAGUUAAAAGGCAUAGAUUUAUAUUUGUCAAUCAUAUUAGGUAUUUGAGAAAACUAUUUUCACUGAUGAAAUACAAUGCACCCUGUCUGACAUUCUUUGAAUGACAACGUGUAAUAGAGUAGAUGUUUUAUUUUGAAAAAAACAUAAUCUGCAUAUAAGCCAGAUUUUACUUAGGUUAAAAAUUAUUUUCCCAUGAAAAUAAAUACUAAUUGACAUAGGAAUUUAGUGAUUUUAUGUGAUUAUGGGCAGACUAAAACUUGUAUGUUUGUUUAAGUGGUGUAUGCUACCUGUGAUUUCCACAAGCAUCAUGCUAGAUGAUUUUUUUGAAUGAAAAAACAUUGUAAAUUUUUGUUAGUAGGAACCACCCAACUUCAAUAGGGAUCCCUCAGAGCUAACUGAUGUUCCUUCCUUGAGUCAUAGAUCUUGAGAAGCAAGAGCUUCCAAUGGGAAAGAUGAUGGGCCUGCAAAUUCAGUACUACCUCUAGGCAUUGUGGCAAUCAAGCAAUUUUGGAAUUCUGCAUUUAGUUGUUCCACUGUAGUGUAGGUUUUCAUUUUAAGGCGUAGUCAAGUGAAUCUUAUUUUCUUAUACAAGUUCCCUUCUGAGAGGGUUGCCAUGGCAAUGAGUUCUCAGCCUGAAAUUCUUAAAUGUUGGUUUUAUUUCAUUAUCUGAGUUUCCAUUACAGGCCACAUCAAUCAAUGCAGUUCUCUAUUCAAGAACACGUCUGCAGCCUUAAAAAGCUGACCCUUUCAUUUGGUACCUCUGCUCCUCUGCCUAACUUGAUGUCACCAUUUCCCAGACAACUCUUCAUCUCCAAGAACCCUCUUCUACAGGGCUGUCAAUUUGAUCUUUUCCAGUUUCCUUUUAGGCAAUAUCUAGUCUUGGUUCUCACCUGUCUCAUUUUCUCAUUUAUAAAGGGUAAUACCAAGUCUCUAUGUCUUCCCUGGUUGGGUUUCUAACAGCUGUGUGACUAACAAUACUAUUAAUAAGUAACAAGAACAAAGGCACUUUUGCAUUUGUGCAUCACUCUACAGUUUACAGCAGUGUAUUCCUAUACAUCAUCUCAUUUAUUUUUCAAAUUCUCUAACUUGCUGCCACUGUUACUUUGAUUUAGCCAGUGUGGGAAAAAGCUAACUCAAGACUUUUCCUUUCUUCUUUUCCCCUACAUUCACGUUUCGUAAGAUCUCCUCAGAGGGCACAGAGGUACACAGGUUAUUGUUACUGGGAGUGACAAGUGACAGGACAGGCAGCAGAGUCGAGGAGGAGGGCGGGCAUGGAAUGAUAGUAAAUUCACAGGCUGUGCCUUGGAAACAGAUAGUUAUACAACCAAACCCACAUUGACAGAUCCUGCACAAUUUGUGUCUUCUGGUGGCCACACCAGAGAGAUGAUUUGAGUUAGAGGGGUGAAUGAGAUCAAUCAUUGAGCCAUGAAAUAUAGUAAUAAGAAUAGCAAAUGUUUCUGAACUCCCACUUGGUGCCAGGCACUGUGUUUUAGUCAUUAAUUCUCAAAACAAUCCUGAGUUAGAAAAUGUGAUUUCUUCCAUCUUAGAGAUGAGGAAUAUGCACCAGAAGGAAACUGCCUUCCCUGUGGCUCAAUUCCUCAUCCAAGGAUAUGAGCCAAAACCAAGGUGAUGCAUAUCGUGAUUCUGUUUCUCCACUAGCUAAGCAUUAUGUUGACGACCGUAACUCCAUGCAUUCUGUGGGCUAUUACACUAACCUGCCAUCUGUAGGUUGGACCUGUAACACUACUGGUCUUAGCUCAAGUGAAUUAAGGUCUUACCUUGAACAAAAAGUUGAGGUGGGAUUUAAACUGAGGUAGUCUAAAUCUAGUGGCCUAAGCCACUGUGAAGUUCCUUUUUCUUUCCUCCAUUAUUAUGUGCCUUUUUUUGUCUAAACCAGUGGUUCUCAGUGGGUGUAGCACUGCCCUCUAGGGACCAUUUUGUGAGGGUGGUUUUGGGCAGUGACAACAACUAGGGAGUGCCACAAGCAUUUUGUGGGCAGGGACAGGGAUGUUGUGACAUGUGGUCUGGCCAAGCCCACAUGGGAAAACUGUCCCUCCUCCCACACAAUGUUUUAACGUUUUGCCAGACAGUCAUAUAAGUGAAAACCUGUUUAUAAACACCAAGAUACAUCAAAACAAAGCCUCUCUCUCUUUUUCACUGUAUCCUGGACUAUCAUGAAAAUUAAAGGAAGCUUGUACUUAGUUUGCUUAGAACUUUACCAAGAGUGCCUGAGAAAAUUAUGCUACAGAUGGCCAUGCCCAAGCAGCAGGAGAGUUUUUCACACCUGGUUGAGUCCACAUUUAGAGAAUUUUUUUUGUAGUGAUUCUACGUAGUGAAGCAAACAUCUUCCUUCUUCAUUGCGUGUUCUAGUGUAUUCAUGCCCUUGUCUUUACAUGUUGAAAAUAGAAUUUUACUAUAAAUACUUUCAUUUUAAAUCAUUUUCAUAUCACACUUAUGGCACUCUAUUGAUUUUUUUUAAAUUGAUGUGUUGUUUUCAUUUGGCUUCCCUUGGGAACAGACCCUGAGCCAAGGUGUUGUGUGCACGUGCUUUCUAUAGGAGGUGAUGACAGGGAACAGCGCAGAGGAGUGGGGAUGUGAGGAAGGGAAGAAAAAGCAGCCAGGAGGAGUGGGAGUGUUAUAAGUUGGCAGUGUGGACAAGUGGGGCUCUGUCUUGCUGGGGAGCUCUCAGCAACCAUGUAGAACAUGCCUAGAAGUGGUCCCAUCUGAGGGAGGAGAAAAGCUGGACUAUUUUUUUUUUUUAUCUUUCCCCCUUCAUCAGCUGGCUGAGGACUGCUCCUGGGUCAUUAACUUCCCAGCAUUUCUUAUCUGCCCGCUUGGGCAGGCAGAAGGAAAAAGCUCAGGCAGAGAGUGACAGCAAGGGUAUUUGCUAGAAGAUGCUGUGGAUGGGCAUGUGCUAGAAUGAUGAGAACUGGGCAGAUAUGGGUGGGGCACUGAUGCCUGUUUCAUGUGUGCAGAUGAGUGUUAAUAUUGAUAAAUGUCAUUUCUGCAUAGCAAGGGGACUUUACAAAAUAUUUGUUAUAAAAGGGUUUGCUGAGCCUGAUAGAAUUGAGAGCAUUGGUUUAAGUUAAACAGAGUUUCUAAUAGAGCAAAGCUACAUUGAAUAUGCUAAACACAGGUUGCUCAAAGAUUUUUAUUCUUAAAGUUAGGCAUCCAAAUUAUCUGCUUCUUUAAGCAUAGUGUGAUAUAGAUGUCAUAAAAAUGGUAAUUGAUGUGACUGGCCUUAUAUCCUAUAGAAUACAUGGUCUUAUGAAAGUGAAUGUAAUGCUUAGCUAAUAGAAAAACAAUAUCACGUGUUGUGUCACCUUAGUUAAAGUUUUUUCAAGAUCUCAUAAUCCUAACCUUUGAUUCAUCAUGCAAAUUACGGAAGAGUUGGCCACCCAAGGUUGAAUGCAUGUAAAGUUGUCCAUCAAUCAGAAGACACAUAUUAGAGGCUAGGGAACAUUCUCAGGAAAAUCAUUAUUGGUUUCUACAACAGUGUCUUCCAGAGGAAAUACUGGCCUAGCACACUGUCAAAGAGAGUAUAUUACAGUGAAAUUUGUAUAGAAACAGUAAAGAGAUUUGCAAUGCAAGCUUUCAUCUUGAGUGCUUUAUU
rnacentral:lncRNA from 1 species